CCUACGGGUGGCUGCAGUGGGGAAUAUUGGACAAUGGGCGAAAGCCUGAUCCAGCCAUGCCGCGUGUGUGAAGAAGGCCUUCGGGUUGUAAAGCACUUUCAGUGGGGAAGAAAGCCUUGGGGCUAAUACCCUCGAGGAAGGACAUCACCCACAGAAGAAGCACCGGCUAACUCCGUGCCAGCAGCCGCGGUAAUACGGAGGGUGCGAGCGUUAAUCGGAAUUACUGGGCGGAAAGCGCGCGUAGGCGGUCUGAUAAGCCGGUUGUGAAAGCCCCGGGCUCAACCUGGGAACGGCAUCCGGAACUGUCAGGCUAGAGUGCAGGAGAGGAAGGUAGAAUUCCCGGUGUAGCGGUGAAAUGCGUAGAGAUCGGGAGGAAUACCAGUGGCGAAGGCGGCCUUCUGGACUGACACUGACGCUGAGGUGCGAAAGCGUGGGUAGCAAACAGGAUUAGAUACCCCAGUAGUC
rnacentral:rRNA from 1 species